AUUGAAUUAAAAGUAGAACAGGAGCCAGAGCCUUCAGUUACCAAGCUCCUCUCCUGUGGAACCAGCUUCCAGUUGUGGUUUGGGAGGCAGACACCCUCACCACAUUCAAGAGUAGGCUUAAGACAUUCCUCUUUGAUAAAGCUUAUAGUUAGGGCUGGAUCAGGUGAGUCCUGAACCAUCCCUUACUUAUGCUGCUAUAGGCCUAGACUAUCGGGGGAUUUCCCAUGGUGCACUGAGCUCCUCCCUUCCUCUCUCUUUAUGCACUCAUUCAUGUCCCAUUAAUGCAUGUUACUAACUCCACUUCUUCCCCGGAGUUCUUGUGCUUUCUCGUCUCGCAGGUUCUCAUGGAUCCUGGUGGAGCCUCCUGCCAUGGUCCUGCUUGACUGCCAUUGCCAAUACUGUUGUUGCUGUGCACCUGUCUGUCUGUCUGUCUCUCGCUCUCUCUCUCUCUCUCUCUCUCACCCCAACUGGUCGAGACAGACGACCACCCACCUAGAGCCGGAGGAUCUGUCCUAGGUUUCUGCCUUUUAACAGGCAGUUUUUCCUUGCCCUUGUCUCCAAGGUCUUGCUCAUGGUGGUACUGUUGGGUCUCUGUAAUUAAUGUUUUAAAGAGUUCGGUCUAGACCUGCUCUAUUUGAAAAGUGUCCUGAGAUAACUUCUGUUAUGAAUUGGCGCUAAACCAAUAAAAUUGAAUUGAAU